UUUUGUAUGCAGGAGAAUAGAGCGUCUUUUGAUACAAGGAUCUUUGUGAUGCCAGCAGAGGAAUGCUCUUAGUGUUACUGUACCUAUUAUAUGAGCUGUUGACUCCAGAGCCAUCUUAAUGCUUUGUUUCAUAUUUCACUGAAGGCCAAUUUCUGUUCACUUGAGGAAAGAAAAUGCCAUGCCUUGCUUCAAACUGAUUAAAACUUCAAAACAGAGACCUGGAGGAGUGGAGAUGAGUUGGUGUGGACAGAAGAAUCCAUGGGCCCUGGCUAACUGCAGCAGAGCGGGCAGAAAGUUUCUUUUCUGUGGCUACCUGAGCUGCAUCGUUCAGCUUUACAAAGAAAAAAGCUUUGAUUCCAGUGGUGGGACUUUGACUGGCUUAUUGCCUUUAUGUUAUCUCAUGGCUGUAUUGGGUUGCUGGGGCAUAAAGCUUGCUUUGGUUGCAAUAGGAGCUUUGUGCAUGUAUCACUGACAGCAAACGACCGCUGCUGAGGAGCAGUUCUUUAGUGCAGAAGAAAAGCUGUGCUUGCCUGGUGUCAUCUGGCUGAGGUAUUCCACUUGCUAUGGCUUGCUUUGAACAGUCAUUUAUGAAGCAUGGAAAUUUAUGUUUUGAGCAGCUAUGACAGCCAGCUGGAUGUUGCUCUCUGUUCUGUGUUAUUCGUCAUUAUUUGUUCACUUGUUUGUCUAUGUGCAUGUUUGUAUUGUGGAUCCACUGCGUACUCAUUUUUUUCAUGACAGAUAUUCAUGCUUUUUGCAGUUGCCCCGUGUGACUGUACUUUUCGGGUGCGCACUUUAAUAUCAGAUGAGAGGCAGAAAGGAAGUAAUAAUUCUGAAUGAAUAAUAACACAC
rnacentral:lncRNA from 7 species